rnacentral:rRNA from 1 species
CCUACGGGUGGCAACAGUGGGGAAUAUUGGACAAUGGGGGGAACCCUGAUCCAGCGACGCCGCGUGAGUGAAGAAGUAUUUCGGUAUGUAAAGCUCUAUCAGCAGGGAAGAAAGAAAUGACGGUACCUGCCUAAGAAGCCCCGGCUAACUACGUGCCAGCAGCCGCGGUAAUCCGUAGGGGGCAAGCGGUAUCCGGAUUUACUGGGUGUAAAGGGAGCGUAGACGGCGAUGCAAGUCUGACGUGAAAGGCGGGGGCCCAACCCCCGGACUGCUUUGGAAACUGGAUGGCUGGAGUGCAGGAGAGGUAAGUGGAAUGCGUGGUGUAGCGGUGAAAUGCGUAGAUAUUAGGAAGAACACCGGUGGCGAAGGCGGCUUACCGGACUGUAACUGACGUUGAGGCACGAAAGCGUGGGGAGCAAACAGGAUUAGAUACCCUGGUAGUC